AGCUGUCUCUUCCACCAGGUACUGGCCUCUUGCAGAACUGUGCUCAUCAAGACAGCUGUCAACUCUGCAUCCCAGGAGAGAGGGAGCUGCCACAUCUCAGACAUCAACUUCUAGAUUCCUUGGUGGGCCCCUCUCCAAGUGGGAGAGUUAAAGGAAGCAUGAGUUACUUGGCCACCUACCACUGCAUAUUAGCAGAAAAGCUUUCCCAGCCUUGCUUAUAAAUGGCCAAGCAACAAACUACCUCAUUCAUCCAUUCUGUUGACAUGUUCUGAGUAUCUGGAUGCUUGGAACUGGGGAUAGAGAAAUCAGGAGGCCGUGGUCCUUGCCUAUGAUGGAAGGACAAUGUAACCAGAUGCUCUCAGUAGAGUGUGACAAACACUUUAUCAGAGGUGGGGCUGGAGUCAUCCCGACAGAAUGCAAAGAAGUGAAGUAAGUGCCUAGUGCCAACAGCACUUCACAAAGGAGGUAGUUAUAAAGCUUUGAGGAUUUUGAAGAAUGGGGGAAAGAAGGGACAUGGGAUAACAUUUCAAAUAUAGGAACUGUGGGACAUUCUAUCACUGUUAGAAAAUAUUCUAAUUAUUUGCUCCAUCUCCCUGUGAGAUGUUUCUCUUUUUCUGCCUCAAUUUAGGUCAGGCUUGGCUAUGUGAGUGGCCAAUAAAAUGUGAGUAGAAGUGUUCUUUGCCACUUCUGAGUAAAACCUUUAAGAUCCAUUGUGGCAUUACAAAGUGACUCUUCUCCCCCUGCCACAUGAGAAAGGGCUGCUUCUCCAGGGUGGGUCUCGGAGUAAAGAAGACUGUUGGAGUAGAGGUGAAGCCAACCCUCAGACAACAUGUAAUAUA